CAGCCGCCACGGUAAUACGUAGGUGGCAAGCGUUGUCCGGAAUUAUUGGGCGUAAAGCGCGCGCAGGCGGCCUAUCCAGUCUGUCUUAAAAGUUCGGGGCUCAACCCCGUGAUGGGAUGGAAACUAGUAGGCUAGAGUAUCGGAGAGGAAAGCGGAAUUCCUAGUGUAGCGGUGAAAUGCGUAGAUAUAUGGAGGAACACCGGUGGCGAAAGCGGCUCUCUGGCUUGUGACUGACGCUGAGGCUCGAAAGCGUGGGGAGCAAACAGGAUUAGAUACCCCCGUAGUCCCUGUCUCUUAUACA
rnacentral:rRNA from 1 species